ACAGUUGGAAAAUUUUAUUGUAAGUGUUAAGAAACUAAAAAAAUAAAUUUAGUUGAGCGGAGCUCUACUGUAUUCCAGUAUAUAUAUAAAACUUUUACGGCGAGUAUAAUUUAAAAAAGUACGAAAGCUUUUUGCUUUUACUGGUUAAAAGGACUCUCACGCCUGUGUGUGCGCUUUGGGUCUUUAGAAAACAAAAACCACAAGAAAACAACAGCAUAAGUUGUAUUUCAUUGAAUGAAAAUAAUACAAGAACUACAAGAAAACAACAACAAAAAAUAAAGAAAAAAGAGCAACGUCAACAAAAACCCAUAAUAGAGAACAAUAUUUAACAACGAAGUGUAUAAUAAUCUCUCUCAAAAACUAUAUAUGUAUUUACCGUUACAUUAACUACCACCACCACCCUACACUACUCAAUACAACUCUAACCAAUUAUCAGUCACUCAGUAAGCAAACAACUUGCGAGAGCAUAUUUUAUCUUUAGCAAUUUGCCGUACUUGUCAUCAUCGUCGUCAUACACACACCAACAAAAAAAUAUAUUGGCCAACUUUAGCUAGUGUAACGGAAUAUAGUGUCAGCAGCCAGAAAAACAACAACAAUAACAGAAAAGUAUCCCCUAAAAAGCCUUUUGUUCAAGGAAUAUCAGCAGUUUUCAAUACCUUCCAAAUCUAUCCUUCACACACUCUCUCUAUCUCUCUCGUUAACAACUCUAAAGAACAAAAACUACAACACAUAACAUGGCGGAUCCAGCAGCAGCCGGAGAUGCACCACCAGCAGAGGGUGCACCAGCAGGAGAGGGUGGCGAUGGUGAGAUUGUUGGUGGACCACGCAACCCUCAACAAAUAGCGGCACAAAAGCGUUUACAACAAACCCAGGCACAAGUUGAUGAGGUUGUUGAUAUUAUGCGAACAAAUGUUGAGAAAGUGCUCGAAAGAGAUCAAAAGCUUUCGGAAUUGGAUGAUCGUGCUGACGCCUUGCAACAGGGUGCCUCACAAUUUGAACAGCAAGCUGGCAAAUUAAAACGAAAAUUCUGGUUGCAAAACUUAAAGAUGAUGAUUAUUAUGGGCAUAAUUGGUCUGGUUAUUGUGGGCAUUAUUGCAAACUCCUGGUUUUCAAAUGACCAUGAUACCAGUGGUCCUCCAACACCACAACAAUCAUCACCACUACAACCAUCAACCAGUAAUGUUAUUGUUGACCAUGGCCAUGGUCAGGUAUUGGAUUCGGUGCCUGCACCCCAUGAACAAGAACAUCCUGAAUUACCCGAACACACAUUACAAAAAACACCCACUGUGAACGAAUUACAGCCAGACAUAAAAUCAGCCACUUCAGAAUAAAAAUCAGAAAAAAAAAAAUUCAAAAAACCAAAACUAAAUCAUAAUAUAUUUUUUAUUAAACAAAAACAGAAUUUCACACAAAAUUAUAAACUGGGCUUAAUAGGUGGUGAACAACAGCCUCAAUAUCCACCACAAUAUUAUAUGCCGCCACCACCACCCCAACAGCAGCCACCACCACAAGCGGCAGCUACCGGUGGCACAUCGUCAUUGGCUGGUGAUGAC